AUUUAUAUAAUUUAUGAAGAAUAUUGCACUGAAGAUGCAAAAGAGAUAAAAUUAUCUGUAAAUA
rnacentral:tRNA from 4 species